UUGCACGCUAUCACACUUUUGUUAGGCCUACUUUUACUACUUUUUCAAUCAGCAUCAGAGGAUUUGGCUUCCCGGGGACUUGAAAUUGCAACUACUGCUGGUGGUCUCAUUUCAUUGAUAAUAGGAGCAUUAGGUCGGAAGCGCAGCCGAGUGAAUUUGUUGAGAUUUUUUAUGGUCAUGUCAUCUAUUGUUUUCUCCUUCUUGAUAUAUUGUGCCAUUCGGAAGUAUUCAGGAUUCAUGGUAAGGAAAAGCUCAAGUUACUGGGAAAUAGUUUUGGAGCUUCCUGAGAUUUCCCUUGCUGUUGUCGGUCUAGUGUUUCAUCUAUUUAUCAUUGGCUACACGCUUCAUCUCAUUGCUAACAUGUCUGUCCCUAAGAGAGCUUCAUAGCUUUAUAAAUUUAGCUGUCUUGGAUCCCUACACCUGCGUUAUUGCCUUAAACUUCAUUAUGUAUUCUACUUCCGACACCCACAAAGCACUCAUAACUGUGAAAUUGUUGGUAGGAUGAUUUGGUUUCAUUUUUAUGAAUUAAGCAAAGGAAGCUUAGUCUUUUGGAUUCU